AUUGAACGCUGGCGGCAGGCCUAACACGUGCAAGUCGAGCGGAUGACGGGAGCUUGCUCCUUGAUUCAGCGGCGGACGGGUGAGUAAUGCCUAGGAAUCUGCCUGGUAGUGGGGGACAACGUUUCGAAAGGAACACUAAUACCGCAUACGUCCUACGGGAGAAAGCAGGGGACCUUCGGGCCUUGCGCUAUCAGAUGAGCCUAGGUCGGAUUAGCUAGUUGGUGGGGUAAUGGCUCACCAAGGCGACGAUCCGUAACUGGUCUGAGAGGAUGAUCAGUCACACUGGAACUGAGACACGGUCCAGACUCCUACGGGAGGCAGCAGUGGGGAAUAUUGGACAAUGGGCGAAAGCCUGAUCCAGCCAUGCCGCGUGUGUGAAGAAGGUCUUCGGAUUGUAAAGCACUUUAAGUUGGGAGGAAGGGCAGUAAGCUAAUACCUUGCUGUUUUGACGUUACCGACAGAAUAAGCACCGGCUAACUCUGUGCCAGCAGCCGCGGUAAAAC
rnacentral:rRNA from 1 species